ensembl:lncRNA
AAGAGCACACACAAAGAUCUGUGAAGAUGUGAUAUUACUCAAAGGUUGUCAGUCACAGAAAGGAGAUGCUCACUUCAUCGUUUCAGCUGAAACAAAUGAUGGAAUUUUGUCAAAUUAUUUCCUGUUUAAAAUAAAACACUGUUUUAUUAGAAAUUGCUUGUGAUCUUUUUUAACUCACAUUUGGUUAAACUGUUUUCCCCGUGUCUUUUUACAUGCCAGUUCCUUGUAACGCUAAAGAGUUAAAGACGCUGGGUCAAACUGAGACCAGUAUCACUCUGCAGUGGAAGAAAGUGGACAAAAUCCUCCAGUAUAAACUGGUUUUCAAUCAAACGGAGAACAAUGUCACUGCAACAGGGGGAGACUAUGUGAAUCACACAAUCCCAAACCUCACAAGUGGGACCAGAUACAACUUCACUGUCCUCACUGAAUUUGGAAAUGUCACAAGCAGCGGAGUGACCUACAGUGCAUCCACUGUUCCCCCCCCAGUGACUUCGGUCAAUGUGACUAAACGCUCUGCGACCAGCGUAACCCUGCAGUGGCAGACGGUCAACCAAGACUGGGAGUACAAUGUGAACGGGACAGCCUUCCAACUCUCCCCGAGUACAACGGGUAGCGUCUCCCAUUCGUUCUCUUCCCUCACGCCCGGAACGCUGUAUAAUUUCAGCGUGGUCACGACGUUCUCUGGGCUCCACAGCAGGCCGUACGAGGACUUCACGGUGACGGCCCUGCACUGCUCCUGGAACGUCACUAACUCAUCAAUCCAAGGAGCUAUCACAGGCCUGUUCUCCAAGGCAACGGCCACUAACGGGACGCAGAAUGUCGUGAGGCCGGGAAGCCCCAACGUGCUGUUCGCCGGCCUCUGGCCCGGUGCGACCUACCAGGUUUCUCUCGUGUACGAAAAACAAUCCAGAUUCUUUCUUCAGUGCCGCCACAACGUGACAAUCCUUCCUUCGUAUUUGACCGCUCACUGUGAGCACGUGGACGCUGGCUACUCUGUCUACGUCGUCUGGAGUGAACCGCGUGGCGUGUGGACGUCGGUGGAGGUGAACGUGAGCGGGCAUACGCGAAGCGUGCUCCCAAAUGAGAAACAAGAAGUCAAGAUAUCCGGAUUCCAACCUGCCAGGAACUACGAGGUGUCUUUACAUUCAAAGUCUGGGCAGCGAAGCAGUGGGGAACCAUUUGUUUUUUCAUGUCUCACUGAUCCGAGGGGUGAGUGA